rnacentral:RNase_P_RNA from 2 species
UAAGACAGGUGACUGCAUGCGGCCCGACCGUAUGAGGAAAGUCCGAGCUCCACAGGGCAGGGUGCCGGAUAACGUCCGGCGGAGGCGACUCCAGGGAAAGUGCAACAGAAAUAUACCGCCGCACUUGUGCGGUAAGGAUGGAAAGGCGAGGUAAGAGCUCACCGGCGGCCUGGCGACUUGUCCGCCAUGUAAACCCCACCCGGUGCAAGAUUGGAAUGGGAGCAUUCAAUGGCGGCCCGUCACGCUCCUGAUAAUCGCACGAGCCUGCCGGCAACGACAGGCCUAGAUAGAUGGUCACCCAGGAACGAAAGUUCCGGACAGAACUCGGCUUACGGCUUG